rnacentral:rRNA from 1 species
UACGGAAGGUCCUGGCGUUAUCCGGAUUUAUUGGGUUUAAAGGGAGCGUAGGCGGGAUGUUAAGCGUGCUGUGAAAAGCUGCGGCUCAACCGCAGUCGUGCAGCGCGAACUGGCUUUCUUGAGUGCGCGGAAGGCAUGCGGAAUUCGUGGUGUAGCGGUGAAAUGCUUAGAUAUCACGAGGAACUCCGAUUGCGAAGGCAGCAUGCCGCAGCGCUACUGACGCUGAAGCUCGAAGGUGCGGGUAU